CGAUUGUAAUUCCGCUGAUUGACGACUUCGACGAACGGCGAAACGCCAACCAGCUUCCAAACCAUCCAAUUGUGCAUAAAAUAAACGUACCUUGAUGAAAAGACGAUCUCGAAUUAUUAUAAUUACGAAUAUAGAAAAGAGAUCGUAAAACUAUUUAGAUCUAAGAACUCUUGGCCAAGUCUACACAAGAAGAAAAUAUUCGGACGAACCCAUUUUCUAAAAUUCCAGUUUUGUAAUAUGCACGUGCGGCAUUUAAUGGAAUAGAAGUAAGAUCAUUGCCUUGGCCCCAAAAGUCAAUACGGUAUCCUCCCUUGUGAUUCCACGACACAGUUGCUGAAUACGUUCCAUCCUUCUCAACGCUAUUUCAAAGAAGUCAGCAGUUACAUACGUACAUAAGAAAGAAAUAGGAAGACAAAUUUCAAACAUUCUGUUCAAAUUACACAACUAAGCAAUUUAACCGAGAAUAUUCUUUUUUUUUUAUCACUACAAAUAUCGAUUUACGCUUAUCGUGUCAAUUUAAGUGUCUUUGCUAAGUUAUUUAUCGAUUCGAAUGAUUAAUAAUACAUGACGAACGAGGAGGAUUAAUCAUAAAAAAAAAAAAAAAAAAAAAAAUAAGAAAAAAAAAAACGAAGAAAGUCAUAGUUAACGUUAUCAUGGAUGAAAUUAUAUCGCAGUAUAUUUUAUUUUAUUGUAAAAAUCAAUAAGAGAUAGAAGAAAUUCGAUUGAAACUUUUUCUAUAUUUUAUUAUUAUGUCAAUAUAUAGAUAUACGAAAGUUAUGAAAA